rnacentral:rRNA from 1 species
CCUACGGGGCGCAGCAGUCGAGAAUUAUUCACAAUGGGGGAAACCCUGAUGGUGCGACGCCGCGUGGGGGAAUGAAGGUCUUCGGAUUGUAAACCCCUGUCAUGUGGGAGCAAAUUAAAAAGAUAGUACCACAAGAGGAAGAGACGGCUAACUCUGUGCCAGCAGCCGCGGUAAUACAGAGGUCUCAAGCGUUGUUCGGAAUCACUGGGCGUAAGGCGUGCGUAGGCUGUUUCGUAAGUCGUGUGUGAAAGGCGCGGGCUCAACCCGCGGACGGCACAUGAUACUGCGAGACUAGAGUAAUGGAGGGGGAACCGGAAUUCUCGGUGUAGCAGUGAAAUGCGUAGAUAUCGAGAGGAACACUCGUGGCGAAGGCGGGUUCCUGGACAUUAACUGACGCUGAGGCACGAAGGCCAGGGGAGCGAAAGGGAUUAGAUACCCCAGUAGUC